rnacentral:rRNA from 1 species
ACGCUGGCGGUGUGCUUAACACAUGCAAGUGGUGCGACGAACCAGAGCUUGCUCUGGGGCAAAGCCGCGAACGGGUGAGUAACACGUGGGUAAUCUACCCCGAUGACCGGGACAACCCGAGGAAACUCGGGCUAAUACCGGAUGUGGUACGGAGACAUAAGUCUCUUUACUAAAGGUAGCUUCGGCUUCCGCAUUGGGAGGGGCCCGCGGCCCAUUAGCUAGUUGGUGGGGUCAAGGCCUACCAAGGCAACGAUGGGUAGCUGGUCUGAGAGGACGAUCAGCCACACUGGGACUGAGACACGGCCCAGACUCCUACGGGAGGCAGCAGUGGGGAAUCUUGCGCAAUGCGCGAAAGCGUGACGCAGCAACACCGCGUGAGGGAAGACGGCCUUAGGGUUGUAAACCUCUUUCAGAUGGGACGAAGGUGAUGCGGUGAAUAGCCGAUGUCAUUGACGGUACCAUCAGAAGAAGCUCCGGCUAACUACGUG